AGGGGGGGGGCGGUGCUUAUUACAUGCAAGUCGAGCGGACAGAUGGGAGCUUGCUCCCUGAUGUUAGCGGCGGACGGGUGAGUAACACGUGGGUAACCUGCCUGUAAGACUGGGAUAACUCCGGGAAACCGGGGCUAAUACCGGAUGGUUGUCUGAACCGCAUGGUUCAGACAUAAAAGGUGGCUUCGGCUACCACUUACAGAUGGACCCGCGGCGCAUUAGCUAGUUGGUGAGGUAACGGCUCACCAAGGCGACGAUGCGUAGCCGACCUGAGAGGGUGAUCGGCCACACUGGGACUGAGACACGGCCCAGACUCCUACGGGAGGCAGCAGUAGGGAAUCUUCCGCAAUGGACGAAAGUCUGACGGAGCAACGCCGCGUGAGUGAUGAAGGUUUUCGGAUCGUAAAGCUCUGUUGUUAGGGAAGAACAAGUGCCGUUCAAAUAGGGCGGCACCUUGACGGUACCUAACCAGAAAGCCACGGCUAACUACGUGCCAGCAGCCGCGGUAAUACGUAGGUGGCAAGCGUUGUCCGGAAUUAUUGGGCGUAAAGGGCUCGCAGGCGGUUUCUUAAGUCUGAUGUGAAAGCCCCCGGCUCAACCGGGGAGGGUCAUUGGAAACUGGGGAACUUGAGUGCAGAAGAGGAGAGUGGAAUUCCACGUGUAGCGGUGAAAUGCGUAGAGAUGUGGAGGAACACCAGUGGCGAAGGCGACUCUCUGGUCUGUAACUGACGCUGAGGAGCGAAAGCGUGGGGAGCGAACAGGAUUAGAUACCCUGGUAGUCCACGCCGUAAACGAUGAGUGCUAAGUGUUAGGGGGUUUCCGCCCCUUAGUGCUGCAGCUAACGCAUUAAGCACUCCGCCUGGGGAGUACGGUCGCAAGACUGAAACUCAAAGGAAUUGACGGGGGCCCGCACAAGCGGUGGAGCAUGUGGUUUAAUUCGAAGCAACGCGAAGAACCUUACCAGGUCUUGACAUCCUCUGACAAUCCUAGAGAUAGGACGUCCCCUUCGGGGGCAGAGUGACAGGUGGUGCAUGGUUGUCGUCAGCUCGUGUCGUGAGAUGUUGGGUUAAGUCCCGCAACGAGCGCAACCCUGAUCUAGUGCCAGCAUUCAGUGGGCACUCUAGUGACUGCCGUGACAAACCGGAGAGGUGGGGAUGACGUCAAUCAUCAUGCCCUUAUGACCUGGCUAACACUGCUACAUGAACGAACAGCACGAACGCAGGUUAGCCAAUUCAAACCGUCUCAGUCGGAAUCGCAUCGUGCAAC
rnacentral:rRNA from 1 species